rnacentral:rRNA from 1 species
AACGUAGGAGGCGAGCGUUAUCCGGAUUUACUGGGUGUAAAGCGCGUGCAGGCGGUUUAGCAAGUCGUGCGUGAAAGCGCUCUGGCUCAACCGGGCGAGGACGUGCGGAACUGCUGAACUGGAGGCAGGUAGAGGCGUGUGGAAUUCCGGGUGUAGUGGUGAAAUGCGUAGAGAUCCGGAGGAACACCAGUGGCGAAGGCGACGCGCUGGGCCUGACCUGACGCUAAGACGCGAAAGCAUGGGGAGCGAACGGG